rnacentral:ncRNA from 1 species
UAAAAAUCGUUGAGAAAGACACACAACUAAAGUGUUAUUUGUAGAGAGAGAUGGCUUGGUGAAACAUCUCAAUAAGCUUUGGAUUGGACCACUUUCGAGAAGACUUUCUGAAUUGAGUAGGAAAGGCCGGGCACGCCCGUUAUAGCGUCUAAAGAGUUAUCAGCCUAAUUGGCGGUAACUGAAUUUGGGUGGAACCACGUUAAAAUUGAAGCGUCCCAUUU